rnacentral:rRNA from 1 species
ACGCUGACAGAAUGCUUAACACAUGCAAGUCGAUGGGGAAGUGGUGCUUGCACCAUGGUAACCAUGGCGGACGGGUGAGUAACGCGUAAGGAACUUACCUGCGGGACCGGGAUAACAGCAGGAAACUGCUGACAAGACCGGAUAAGGUCAUUAAGCCGCAUAGCUUAGUGAUGAAAGGAGACGCCUGCGGAGAGCCUUGCGUCCUAUUAGCUAGUUGGAGGGGUAACGGCCCACCAAGGCGAAGAUAGGUAGCCGGCCUGAGAGGGUGGACGGCCACAAGGGGACUGAGAUACGGCCCUUACUCCUACGGGAGGCAGCAGUGGGGAAUAUUGGACAAUGGGGGCAACCCUGAUCCAGCAAUUCUGUGUGCACGAAGACGGUUUUCGGAUUGUAAAGUGCUUUCAGCAGGGAAGAAGGAAGUGACGGUACCUGCAGAAGAAGCGACGGCUAAAUACGUGCCAGCAGCCGCGGUAAUACGUAUGUCGCGAGCGUUAUCCGGAAUUACUGGGCAUAAAGGGCAUCUAGGCGGCCUUUCAAGUCAGGGGUGAAAACCUGCGGCUCAACCGCAGGCCUGCCUUUGAAACUGAUAGGCUGGAGUACCGGAGAGGUGGACGGAACUGCACGAGUAGAGGUGAAAUUCGUAGAUAUGUGCAGGAAUGCCGAUGAUGAAGAUAGUUCACUGGACGGUAACUGACGCUGAAGUGCGAAAGCCGGGGGAGCGAACAGGAUUAGAUACCCUGGUAGUCCCGGCCGUAAACGAUGAUUACUGGGUGUGGGCAGGAAGACUGUCUGUGCCGAAGCGAAUGCGAUAAGUAAUCCGCCUGGGGAGUACGGCCGCAAGGCUGAAACUCAAAGGAAUUGACGGGGACCCGCACAAGCGGUGGAGCAUGUGGUUUAAUUCGACGCAACGCGAG